UUGAAUUUAUUUUUAGUACACCACUGACGGACAAUAUUGAUGUUAGCCUGGAGAGUCAUACGGUUUUGAUGUAGUAAUAUAGUUUUAGGUCAUCUACAUAGGCAAGCUUGUCGCAGAUGAUAUGAGGUCAUCUAUGAAUAUAUUGAACAGAACUGGUCUGAUGCACAGCAGAAUUUGGAAUAAAAGCCCUCAAUCUCAACGAACUCAAGUUGCAUCAAAUAGAACCUCAACACUCACAUCGGAGAAACAACAUUUUUGAAACGCUUUUUUAAUCAAUUUUUGUGAAGCCUUUUGGAAAGGACAUUGUUUAAGACACACCUAUGAGGAAAAAUAAUUGAUUGAUUUCAACCAAGUCAUUCUGUUAGGAGGGAAAUUAGAUGUAUGUACGACCAUAAAAGAGACGAAGUUAAGGGUUUCAUAAAGAAACUGCUGUUGAUAGAUACAGGUAUUCCCGUCGCCGACGACGAAGGAACAACGACUGUACGGUAUUCUUUCGGGCAUAUUGUUAUAUUCAA